rnacentral:rRNA from 1 species
CGAGCGCAACCCUUGUCCUUAGUUACCAGCACGUUAUGGUGGGCACUCUAAGGAGACUGCCGGUGGACAAACCGGAGGAAGUGGGGAUGACGUCAAGUCAUCAUGGCCCUUACGGCCUGGGCUACACACGUGCUACAAUGGUCGGUACAAAGGGUUGCCAAGCCGCGAGGUGGAGCUAAUCCCAUAAAACCGAUCGUAGUCCGGAUCGCAGUCUGCAACUCGACUGCGUGAAGUCGGAAUCGCUAGUAAUCGUGAAUCAGAAUGUCACGGUGAAUACGUUCCCGGGCCUU